GACGAACGCUGGCGGCGUGCCUAAUACAUGCAAGUCGAACGCAGUGGGGACGGGUGAGUAACACGUGGGUAACCUCCCAUCAGAGGGGAUAACCCUUGGAAACAGGUGCUAAACCGAUACUGAUGGAUGGACCCGCGGUGCAUUAGCUAGUUGGUGGGGUAACGGCCCACCAAGGCCACGAUGCAUAGCCGACCGAGGAGGUUGAGCGGCCACACUGGGACUGAGAGACGGCGAAGACUCCGACAGGAGGCAGCAGGGGGGAAUCUUCGGUAAGGGACGAAAGUCUGACCGAGCAACGCGGCGUGGGUGAAGAAGGUUUGCUGGUCGUAAAACUCUGGUGUUAGAGAAGCGGUAUCUAACCAGAAAGCCACGGCUAACGACGUGCCAGCCGCGGUAAUAC
rnacentral:rRNA from 1 species